CAGUAAGCAAAGCCUUUUUGAUUUCUGCAAAUAGGAUUCAAAUUUCAGCUCCUCCGGAAAUACAGUUAAACUUCCUGUAACAAAGGAUCAUUACUGAAUAGAAUAGCACCAAGUCGAGAACUUGACAAAAGAAGGAUCAAUUUCACUACGUGAUAACCAAAUUGAUUCUGUAAUUUGAGAGAAGUAUUCGAACUUGGAAAUCUGUUUUUAUCAUGAUUUUGUAUAUUUAUAUUUUAUAUCCGAGAGCCAAAUUCUGUAGUUUUCUAUUCUUUAUCGGCAUUCUCAUUCCUUAGAUCCUCUAAUGAGGGCAUUUUAUGUCCCUUCCAUCUGCAUUUUGUCAGGAAUAAUACAACAACAACAACAACAUACCCAGUAUUAUCCCACACAUUGGGGUUUGGAAGGGUAGUGUGUACGCAGACCUUACCCCUACCUUGUGAGGAUCACCACAUUAAUGAAAAUAUAGACAAGGGACAGUACCAAAAAGCCAUAUAAAAGCAAAAUAAAAACAACAAGAUAGUAAGGUGAUCAACAAUGAAAGAAAACAACGGUUAGUCAUAAAAACCUACUACCAACAGAAAGCGAGAUUGCGUGCCAAUACUACUGCUAUGAACACUCUACACUACCUACUCUACUACCCUAAUCCUCGACAUCCAUACCUUCCUAUCAAGGGUCAUGUCCUCGGUCAGCUAAAGUUGCGUCAUGUCUUGCCUAAUCAACUCUCUCCACCUCUUCUUUGGCCUACUUCUACCUCUCCGUAGGCCCUCCAAUGUUAACCUCUCACACCUCCUCACCAGGGCGUUUGUGCUCCUCCUCCUCAAAUGUCCAAACCACCUAAACCGAGCUUCCCGAAUCUUGUCCUCAAUAGGGGUCACACUCACCUUAUCGCGAAUAACCUCAUUUCUGAUCCUAUCUAACCUGGUGUGCCCGCACAUCCAUCUUAACAUCCUCAUCUCUGCUACCUUCAUCUUUUGGACAUGAGCGGUCUUGGCUGGCCAACCCUCAGGCCCAUACAACAUCGUUGGUCUGACCACCACUCUGUAGAACUUACCCUUUAGUUUCGGUGGCACCUUCUUGUCACACAAAACACCGGAAGCGAGUUUCCAUUUCAUCCAUCCCGCCCCAAUUUGUCAGGAAUAAUAUGUUCGCAAUACAAAUGCCAACGUACUACCAUCUGAUAUGAAAUAGCGGGAAAAAAAAAUAAUAGCAUACACUCUCAGGGAAAAAAGAAAUAAUAGCUCGUUUGGUAUAAUCACGGGAUUAAAAUUGAGAUGAGUUAAUCACAUGUUUGGUUGUAAUAAAAUCGUGUUAUAACUAAUUCCGAAAUUGUAUUUUUUUUUUAUCCCUUGGGAUGGUGGAAUAACUAAUCCCAAGAUAAUUAAUCUUGGGGUAACUUGUUCCAACCAAACGACCCCUCAAAGAAUUCUUUAAGCCUCAGAAACUGGAAUUGUUUUUGAUAAAUGAGCAGUCAAAAAAACAUUACAUAUUACUUGAGCAUAUAGCCCAGUGAGAAUUAUCAUUCACCAAACUACUGUCAUAAGAACAGUUUCUUGAUUCCCUGCUUAGUAUUUAACUAGGGGAACAAAAAAGAAAAAAAAAAGCACAAUUCAGGAUCAAUUUUCCACUGCUGAAAGCAAAUGAAACAAUACCACAUGUGCUUCUCGGAAAUGACUGACCUAAAAGGAUAGUUUUUAUCAUCAUCAAUCCUAAGCCACUAUAGACAGAAUUUAUAUAAACAUUGGAAAAAAGGACUACCAUUUGUUCAAAGAUUGGAGCUUUAUAGUAUAUUAUUUAUGCUGAAAGAUUAGAGCUUUUUACACAUCAGUCCAAGAACCAGUUCUGAGCCUCAUUGGUCUCAAUGGCCUAAUUCUUGAUGAAGACUUGAAAGCUUCAACCAAUGACUUGCAUUUAUCAUUGUCCCCUUUGUUUUCCUCCAAACAUUUCUUCAAUGCUUCAACAUCAGCCACAGCCACCUUCUUCUCUGCAAUCCCACUCUCCCUUUUCUCAUCAUCAUUAUCCAUUUCUUCAAAAUUCAACCAACAAAAUCCAAAAAAGAAUCACUAGAAAUUUUAGAUUGAACUCUAUAUACUAAUUGAUCAUGGAAAUUUGAGAGUCAACAAGUUGUACAGUGAUGAAUUGUGUGAUUAAACUGCAAAAGAGGAGCAUAGGAUUUUUGUGGCAGCUUCUGUUUUGGUUGUUUUUUGGGAGUUUGGGAAUCUAUUAAAAGUGGGACCCUGCACAGAGGUGAUUGACAUGGAUCUGAUCACUUGCUGACUUAUUCAGUCACAAGUGUACUUUGAGGUGAAUUUUUUUCUUGUUUUCUUUUUCUCAUAAAUUUAC
rnacentral:lncRNA from 1 species